AUAAUUUUAUUGAAUUUAACAUUAAUCUAUAUCUACUUCAUUUUUAGGUUGGAUGAUGUGUCUAUAGUCACAUAAUCUGUCUUCUCUCUCAAGAUCUCAGAAGACUCGUAUCACUUACACCAGAGGAAAAUUCAUGAAGGAAAUUAAGUGAAGAAUGGCACACUUCAAUCUCGAUUCAGACUCCAUCAGUUUCUCCUUGGCAGUAAGAUCAAUCCAGAAUUACAGAAUUAGAGGAAAUGGACAAUCCAGCUUCCCUUACCACUUGUGGAACAAAGACAUAGAAAGAAGAAUAAACUGAAUUCUGUCUAAGAUUUCCAAAGAACAAUUAUAGGACAUCUAAGUCAUCACGUGGCUGCAACACCAAAAAAGUCAAGACAGAAGAGAAGAACAGGGUAUGUAAGCCAAAGUCACCACAAGCCAAACCAGACCUGGAAAGACAAGAAGAAUCAUCAU
rnacentral:lncRNA from 1 species